CAUCUAAAUUCUUUAUAAUCUUCCAAACAAUAAUAACAAUAAUAAUCAUCAAGUUGCUAGCAAUAGAAAUUGAAAGAUUAAGAGUAGGAUUGUAUGGGUGAGGGCCGAAUUUAGCAAGGAAAAAGGAGGAAGAAACUUGUGACUUUUUCAUUGUAAUCAUAUUGAUAAUUCUUACUAAAGGUGAAAAGCAAUAUGAUUGUUAGAUGGUCAUCAUGGAUUUGGUUGUCGCGAAGGAGGAAUGAGUUUGAUGAGCCCGGUGAUGAAG